GUGCCAGCAGCCGCGGUAAUACCAGCACCCCGAGUGGUCGGGACGAUUAUUGGGCCUAAAGCAUCCGUAGCCGGUUCUUUAAGUCCUCCGUUAAAUCCACCUGCUUAACAGAUGGGCUGCGGAGGAUACUAUAGAGCUAGGAGGCGGGAGAGGCAAGCGGUACUCAAUGGGUAGGGGUAAAAUCCGUUGAUCCAUUGAAGACCACCAGUGGCGAAGGCGGCUUGCCAGAACGCGCUCGACGGUGAGGGAUGAAAGCUGGGGGAGCAAACCGGAUUAGAAACCCCAGUAGUCC
rnacentral:rRNA from 1 species